rnacentral:rRNA from 1 species
UACGUAGGUGGCAAGCGUUGUCCGGAUUUACUGGGCGUAAAGGGCGUGCAGGCGGUUUGUUAAGUUCAGGGUGAAAGCUCCCGGCUCAACUGGGAGAGGUCCUUGGAUACUGGCAGACUUGAGGAGGGUAGAGGAGAGUGGAAUUCCCGGUGUAGUGGUGAUAUGCGUAGAUAUCGGGAGGAACACCAGUGGCGAAGGCGGCUCUCUGGGGCCCUACCUGACGCUGAGACGCGAAAGCGUGGGGAGCGAACAGG